rnacentral:rRNA from 1 species
GACGAACGCUGGAGGCGUGCUUAACACAUGCAAGUCGAACGAUGAAAUGGAGCUUGCUCCAUGGAUUAGUGGCGAACGGGUGAGUAACACGUGAAUAACCUGCCCUUAAUUUUGGAAUAACCCAGGGAAACCUGGGCUAAUACCGGAUAAGUAAACCUGUGGCAUCACAUGGUUUUGGAAAGUUCUUCGAUUAAGGAUGGAUUCGCGGCCUAUCAGCUUGUUGGUGAGGUAAUGGCUCACCAAGGCGACGACGGGUAGCCGGCCUGAGAGGGUGAACGGCGACACUGGGACUGAGACACGGCCCAGACUCCUGCGGGAGGCAGCGGUGGGGAAUAUUGCGCAAUGGACGAAAGUCGGACGCAGCGACGCCUCGUGAGGGACGAAGGUCUUCGGAUUGUAAACCUCUUUCGGCAGGGACGAAGCGAAAGUGACGGUACCUGCAGAAGAAGCACCGGCUAACUAUGUGCCAGCAGCCGCGGUAA